GGGCCCGCACAAGCAGUGGAGUAUGUGGUUUAAUUCGAAGCAACGCGAAGAACCUUACCAGGUCUUGACAUCGUGUGCAUAGCGUGGAGACACGUAAAGCCCUUCGGGGCACACAGACAGGUGGUGCAUGGUUGUCGUCAGCUCGUGUCGUGAGAUGUUGGGUUAAGUCCCGCAACGAGCGCAACCCUUACGAUUAGUUACUACGCAAGAGGACUCUAAUAGGACUGCCGUUGACAAAACGGAGGAAGGUGGGGAUGACGUCAAAUCAUCAUGCCCUUUAUGACCUGGGCUACACACGUACUACAAUGAUGGUCAACAGAGGGAAGCAAGACCGCGAGGUGGAGCGAACCCCUAAAAGCCGUCUCAGUUCGGAUCGCAGGCUGCAACCCGCCUGCGUGAAGCUGGAAUUGCUAGUAAUCGCGGAUCAGCAUGCCGCGGUGAAUACGUUCCCGGGCCUU
rnacentral:rRNA from 1 species